rnacentral:rRNA from 1 species
UACGUAGGGGGCAAGCGUUAUCCGGAUUUACUGGGUGUAAAGGGAGCGUAGGCGGCGAUGCAAGUCAGAAGUGAAAGCCCGGGGCUCAACUCCGGGACUGCUUUUGAAACUGUGUUGCUAGAUUGCAGGAGAGGUAAGUGGAAUUCCUAGUGUAGCGGAGAAAUGCGUAGAUAUUAGGAGGAACACCAGUGGCGAAGGCGGCUUACUGGACUGUAAAUGACGCUGAGGCUCGAGAGCGUGGGGAGCAAACAGG